UAUAGCAAGAGAGUGGAGACUCAAUGA
rnacentral:piRNA from 1 species